GGGCGUGUGGUCUAGUGGUAUGAUUCUCGCUUUGGGUGCGGGAGGCCCUGGGUUCAAUUCCCAGUAUGCCCC
rnacentral:tRNA from 1 species